rnacentral:rRNA from 1 species
AUUGAACGCUGGCGGCAUGCUUUACACAUGCAAGUCGAACGGCAGCACGGGGGCAACCCCGGUGGCGAGUGGCGAACGGGUGAGUAACACAUCGGAACGUAUCUUCAAGUGGGGGAGUAACCUAUCGAAAGGUAGGCUAAUACCGCAUGUGCAAGGGAUUGGAAAGCGGGGGAUCGUAAGACCUCGCGCUUCUAGAGCGGCCGAUGUCGGAUUGGGUAGUUGGUGGGGUAAAGGCUCACCAAGCCUGCGAUCCGUAGCGGGUCUGAGAGGAUGAUCCGCCACACUGGGACUGAGACACGGCCCAGACUCCUACGGGAGGCAGCAGUGGGGAAUAUUGGACAAUGGGGCGAACCCUGAUCCAGCGACGCCGCGUGUGUGAAGAAGGCCU